AUCCUACGGGAGGCAGGCAGUGGGGAAUAUUGCACAAUGGGCGCAAGCCUGAUGCAGCCAUGCCGCGUGUAUGAAGAAGGCCUUCGGGUUGUAAAGACUUUCAGCAGUGAGGAAGGUGGUAGUGUUAAUAGCACAUUCAUUUGACGUUAGCUGCAGAAGAAGCACCGGCUAACUCCGUGCCAGCAGCCGCGGUAAUACGGGAGGGUGCGAGCGUUAAUCGGAAUUACUGGGCGUAAAGCGCAUGCAGGCGGCCUGUUAAGUCAGAUGUGAAAGCCCGGGGCUUAACCUCGGAAUUGCAUUUGAAACUGGCAGGCUAGAGUCUUGUAGAGGGGGUAGAAUUUCAGGUGUAGCGGUGAAAAUGCGUAGAGAUCUGAAGGAAUACCAGUGGCGAAGGCGGCCCCCUGGACAAAGACUGACGCUCAGAUGCGAAAGCGUGGGGAGCAAACAGGAUUAGAUACCCUGGUAG
rnacentral:rRNA from 1 species